AAAAAGCUUUUCGGCUUUUAUUUGCCGCUUAUUUUUACCUUAAAUGUAAAUUUUUGUUUGAAAUAGGAUAAUUUUUAGAUAAUUUUAUUUAAGUUUAAAAGUCGCAGUAAAUAGAUUUAUUUAUUUAGUUAAUUAAGAAAUAGUAAUAAAUUUUAGUACAGACAAAAUUUGUGCCAGCAGUAGCGGUUACACAGAUUGUACAACGGCAAAUUUUUGGAUUGAGUAAAUAUUCAAUAUUUCGAGAAUUUAUAAAAUAAUUUAUUAAGUGAAAUUUUAAAUUUUUAUAAUUUUUUUCUUUGUUUAUGAGGCUAAUAAAUUUUCUUUAAGACUAGGAUUAGAUACCCUAUUAUAAAAAAUUUAAGUUUAAAUUCCAGAUUAGUAGUAGUUAUGUUCUUGAAAAUUAAGAAAAUUGGCGGUAUUUUAGUCUAUUCAGAGGAACCUGUCCUGUAAUUGAUAGUCCACGAUUUAAUCUACUUGUCUUUUUAAUUUACAUAUCGCCGUAGGUUGAAUAUUUCUAUAGAAUUCAAAAUGUUCAAGAUUUUUAAUAAAAGGAAAUCAGGUCAAGGUGUAGUUUAUAGAUAAGAAGAGAUGGGUUACAAUAAAAUUAUUUAGACGGAAAAGUUUUUUUAAAAAAUUUUAAAGGUGGAUUUGAAAGUAAUUUAAAAUAAUUUUUUUAGAUGAUUUUAGCUCUAAAAUAUGCACAUAUCGCCCGUCGCUUUCAUUUAAAAUGAAAUAAGUCGUAACACAGUAGGGGUACUGGAAAGUGUUCCUAGAAAGUU
rnacentral:ncRNA from 1 species